GGCCUUUCUGCUCCUUGUGCUGAGGAGGCCCAGCCAGGACAGGUGACCCCAGCUGACCCAAGAGACAUUCCAGACCAUGUGGCAUCAUCAUCAGAGGAGCAAGUGGAGGGGAGAGGGAGGGGGGACAUUUGGAGUGAUGGUAUUUGUCCUUCCAAGUCACUGUGGUGUGUGAUGGGACCCUGGGAAUGGCUGAACACCUGCCCAGCCAUGCGAAGCAGGGAAUUCAUUCCUUGCUCUGCUUUGCUGUGCAAGCUUUUGCUUCCAGUCUUAACCUGUCUUUAUCCCACCCCAGGUGGGAUAAAAAAGGUUUUCCAGCUUUUACCCUUUUGAUUCUCUCCCUGAUCCCACUGGUGGGGGAGUGAGUGAGCAGCUGUGAGGGGCUGGCUGCUGCCUGGGGUUAAGCCACAACAUGUGUGAUGUCUGGCAAAUGUUAGAAAUUAACAAAUACAUACUUUAACACAGUGUUCUUAGAUAUCAUGGUGAAAUAUAUUUGUUUACAGCUUUCUAGAAUCACAUACUUGAAAAGCAUUCCUGAAAUUUGAAGACUUUAUCAUGACUACCUCAUGAUUUCUCAGAAUUCUGCCUGAUUCAUUUAGAGAGCAAAAGAUGAGUGUUUCCCCCAUGUCUUGAAUAAUGCUUUUAUUUCCCCUGUUUAAUAAAAGGGAGAAAUGAUGAUGCUGCAAUCCAGGCAUCCAGCAAGGAGGAACUAGAGAAAUGUCCUGACUAGAUAUGUGUUUGUUGUGUAGUUGUAGGUGAGGAAAUCUUGCUGUGGUCUGUGCAUACCAGAGUUUAAAGGAUCUUUGGAAUUCUACCUGAUAAUUCAGAGGAAAAGAAUACUUUCCCCCUCCUUUUUUUUUUUUUUUCUCCAGCUGACUAUAUCAAGAACAUUUGAAUAGAAUUUGAGAGAUCUUCAGGACUGGCUGAAACUAAAACUUCUCUCUGAAUAAAACUUUCUCUGAAAUAAUUUGCUGACUCCUCACCUCAUUAAAAAUUUGCCAUUUAAACCAUGUGGACUUGUGUAUUUUCCAGCAGGAAUUCCCUUGCAGCCCAUUACUGCAAUCAGAACACAGAGAGUGAAGGUUUAUUUCAAUCCAUAUGUGUGAAUAUUUUGCUCCUUUUGGAUGUAAGGCAGUGGAUACUCAUAUCUACUAUAGAGAACCAGUCUCACACUCAGCUGAAAACUGGGACCAUGAACUGGACACCAGAGUGGUACAGAACUUCGGACAAAGUUGUAUCAAAGUACAGCAGAAGUUAGACAAAUUUUGUUGCAGUUAGUCAUUAAAUGUAUGUUUAUUAUAUACAGACAUAGGUAUAUUGGUAAGGAAUAAUAACAGAUAAUUAUAAGUCUAAAUUGUCCAGGUAUAGAAAUAUCUAGACAAGAAUAAUAAUUUAAAUGUGCAUUUAUGUCCCUGUGUAUGUCUAAAUACAGAGAUUUUUGUUAAUUACUACAUUACUAAAUAUGUUUACAUGCAUAUAGAAUUAUAUGUAUUUAUAUACACAAAUGUAUAUAUCUAGUCAAUUAUCUAGAUAUCCAUUUAUAUGAUAUAAAUGUCAUUAUACAGGAUGUAUACAUAUGGUUGCUCUUUUGCCACGAAAAUUACAUUAUUGUUUAUACUCUCAGUGUAAAAGGGAGUAUUGUUCCUGUUCUACUUUGUUACUUUUUUUUGUCUAUUUCCUUUUUCUUUUUCUUUUACUCCCCAAUAGAUAUUUUAAGAAUAUUUGAGCACGCAUCUACUGUAAAAUAGUUUCCAGAUCCAAGAUGUUAUUUUGUUUAUCACCAGAUCUGGGAAGAUACAUUUUUUUUUUUUUAUCGGUGUUUAUAAAGUAUGCAUUUAGAUGGGAGGAAUGAAGAAAUUUCUGUUGGGGGGCAUGUUGUAUUAUUCAGUGAUAUUGACUCUUGGGUUGGAUAAUCAGCUUGAAGCUCAGAAAUGUUGCUUCCUUCAGCAGGACUGCAACAGAAAAAAACUUCUGCAGACAUUGUACCAUACCCCUACCUGUGCCAUCAGAACCUGAACAACUGCCUAACAGGAAUUCUUUUUCAACAUAAAUUUAAAUCAUUGUGGAAAAGGUAUAGCAAAGGUUGACUUGGAAUUCAAAUCUCACUAGGAUUUUAAUAUGGCUCAUUUACAGAAGUCCACUGGAAACUGAAAAUCAGACAUGCAAUUGUCACUUUUUUCAAAGUGUUUUUAAAGUAUUUAAUUGAAUAUUUUUAAACAUAAAUAAAAGAUAGGAACAAAUUUUAAAUGCCCAGAAUCUGUGGUAAAAUCUGUCUUUUUGGAAUUUUUUAGAAUGCAGGUUUCUGACAGAUUCAGACAGUACUAGUGUCUCUGUAGUUAUCAACUUUAGCUUUUUUCAUUGAUUUCACCAUAAUUUUUCUCUGUGAUAUCUUUCUUUUUGCUUUAACUCUUAAAAAAAAAUGAAGGAUAAUAUUUGAUAAGGAUUUUCAAUAACUUAAAAUAUUUCCAUGCUAAACCCCUCCCUCCACCAACAAAACCCCUGGAAACCUAAAAGCCUGAUGCUUCAAAAGGUUUCCACUUACAGAAAUUAACAUUCUCAGUUAUACCUUGCAUCAAAGUCACACAGAGAACACAGGCACUUAACUUGUGGUAUGGAUUGAAAAUCUACUUUCACCAAACCUCUUUGAUUAACUGUUCUGAUAUCUUUCAUUAUAAGUAUAGCGUUGCCUUUCCUUAAAACUUUAUAAUCCAAGUUAAGGUUGCUCAGAUUUCUUUCUUCAUUUGUAGGUUUUUGUUUUGGUGGAGUGUUCUUUUUAUUUGUUUUGUCUGUUUAUUUUGGUUUCUUUUUGUUUUGUUUUUUAAGAUGGAAAUAUCAUAAAACCUUAAAAACCAUGAAUAAUCUUGCCCUACACAGGGCUUAGUAAAAAGAUUAGAUCGCUACCCUGAAAAUAGUUUUUCACUUUCAUGUCUUAAGAAAUUUUGAAUAUAAAAUAUACUGCAAUUCCUGUGUAAAUCCUAUACAUCUGCAUUCAUUAUGACUUUUGUCU